UAAGAGAUAGUAUAAUUCUGGUAGUACGUAAGGUUUUGAGCCUUGUUGUGCAGGUUCGUGUCCUGUUCUCUUAG
rnacentral:tRNA from 1 species